rnacentral:misc_RNA from 1 species
GAUGAAGAACGUAGCGAAAUGCGAUAAGUAGUGUGAAUUGCAGAAUUCAGUGAAUCAUCGAAUCUUUGAACGCACAUUGCGCCCCUUGGUAUUCCAUGGGGCAUGCCUGUUCGAGCGUCAUUUGUACCUUCAAGCUCUGCUUGGUGUUGGGUGUUUGUCCUUGCUCUAGUGGCGGGACUCGCCUUAAAGUAAUUGGCAGCCAGUGUUUUGGUUUUGAAGCGCAGCACAAGUCGUGAUUCAAGUCUAUACGCUAGUUUCCACAAGUCUUUUAUCACUUUUGACCUCGGAUCAGGUAGGGAUACCCGCUGAACUUAAGCAUAUCAAUAAGCGGAGGA